CUUAGGACAUAGUGCCAAGUUUGGGUCCUGAGGGAGCAGCAACCUGAGAUACAGUAUUACUUUGACACUUGGCAUGUGUUUAAAGAAGAUAGAUGAUUGUGGGAAGGAGCGGAACUGUGGAGAGGUUCGGUGCUGGAGGAAGAGUACUGUAAACCACCUCCACUGGUGCACCUCCUUCUGCAAGACAGGAGAAGCUGUGGUGAAGUGGAGGUCUGUUACCAACCAUGUCCAGAAUGGCCACCAUCAUGAGAGUGAGAUGUUUCCUGAUUGUGCCCACCUACACCUUAACGAAUGGUUGAAGCCAAGCACCAAAGCUUGUGAGAAGUUUUGUGACUUGAUGCUGCAGGGUCAACUUCUCAAGGACAUCUCACAUCUGAGUCCUCACCACUAGACCUCCUCAAUUAAAAGCUUCUAUGGCCUGAUCUUGAAAUUUGCUCCCAAGAAUGGGGUAUUCCCAUUCAUGGGAAUGUUGUGCAGGUUAGACAAUUUUGUAAAUUAUUUGUUUUAUUACUUUGAUGUAGUGAAAUACAGUCUAUUCUGGGAAAUGGUUAAUGUCAGGUUCAGCUCAUGUUUGUGGCAACACACAAUUUACCACCUUAAAAAUAGCUUUGCUUUUGUCACACACCUUUUUUUAAGAUCCAAUCAGGAAAGUAAAGAUCACACCAAAUUCAGUGCCAGUUAGUUUAUGUUCUAGCUUAUAAUGCCUGGAAAAAGAAGGGUCACAAGAUUGACUCCCGCCCAGCUAAUUCACACAUGCGGACCAUGGUGAGGCGUGCAAUUUGGAUGGGGAAGCUGUGGUCAGGGUCAGAUGGCCGAAGUACGAAAAGGGAGAAUAUUCUCUCUACUAUGUGAAGACUGCUCCCACAUACAGUAAGUUACACAAUAGAACCUGUGUAUAAAACUUCCAAACAAUGACAACAAUGGCUACAGACAUACAUUGUCAUUUUUUACUAACUCCUCCUCUGUGAAUUGGUCCUGGUCAAAGUCACCAUAGUACUGGACCAUGGAUGCAAAUUCCACUUGAAGAACCAAUGGGUUGAGGCAUACAGCUUCAAAUCCUGGGUGUUGAAGGAGGCAAGUAGUCAUCUACACUUGAAUGGAGGCUAACAUCCAACUCUGAAUCACUGUAGUUCUUAAUGUUUGCUAUGGUCUGCCCACUUUUCAACAUUUGAAUCAAAUUCCUCCCAGUGUUAUGUCCCGCCUGUCUAUUGUGUUUCACUCAGAAAUACAGAAGUUAGAUACUCUUGAAAUGCCAUUUCAUCCAGGGCUUUCCAAAAGGAGAUGGAGUAGUCGGCCAGUGGGAAACAGUAGCCAGCUAGGGGGGCCCGUGGGUAUGCCCCCCCGGAGAAAAACUGGUCGUAAAAACCCAAAUUUGGUGGCCUCUGGCACAUUCUAAUGCCACCAUUCCAUCAUAUACACUGAUCUUACUUAUUGCAUAUUUUAAUGAGUGUGCCUACCUGGUUGUAAACAUGUAGUGAAUUAUCGUAAAGUAGAAUUAGACUUCUUGUGCGCUCUGCCCACACAGUCUGUAAAUAGCUGUUGAUAUUUGAAACACCAUCUAUUCCUGACUGAUUGGAACUUUUGUAAUUAAGAAUAAGAAUAAGAAUUUUUUAUUUAUUUAUUGACACCUGCACUGUAAGGUUUAUUAAUACAUGCCACAAUGAUGUUUAAUGUAUUGUGUUACUAGAAACAAGGUUAUUUUAAGAGGGAACAUGUUUUUAAUCCCAUGUCUUAUCAAGCCUAUGUGUUGGUUUUAAAUUCAAUUAUUUAUACAAUAAAUCUAUGCCAAAAUAACUCUACAAUAACAAAACACUUGAAUUACUUGACUCUGAUCAUGUGAAUCUACGAAUCAACUCAACUUCAUCAACAUCAUUUUCAUCUUCACUAUCAUCCUGAGUGUGAGGCUGAGGCACAGUCUACAUUUUCCUCAUGUGACACAGGCCUGUUACUUUGACAGUAUUGCCUGUUCUAGUGUUUGCAUUGCAAUUAAAGAUGCUGUGAAAAGCACAGU